rnacentral:tRNA from 1 species
GCCUUGCUCUGUCGGUAGAGCAUGAGACUCUUAAUCUCAAGCUUGUGGGUUUGAGCCCCACGUUGGGUA